CUGUUGGGUAGGGGAGCGUUCUGUAAGCGGAUGAAGGUUAAUCGAGAGGUUAGCUGGACGUAUCAGAAGUGCGAAUGCUGACAUAAGUAACGAUAAAACGGGUGAAAAACCCGUUCGCCGGAAGACCAAGGGUUCCUGUCCAACGUUAAUCGGGGCAGGGUGAGUCGGCCCCUAAGGCGAGGCUGAAAAGCGUAGUCGAUGGGAAACAGGUUAAUAUUCCUGUACUUGGUAAAGCUGCGAUGUGGGGACGGAGUAGGUUAGGUUAUCGCACUGUUGGAUAUGUGCGUUUAAGUUGGUAGGUGGGAAGUUUAGGCAAAUCCGGACUUCUAUUAAACACUGAGAGAUGAUGACGAGGCUCUAAGGAGCUGAAGUAACUGAUACCACACUUCCAGGAAAAGCCACUAAGCGACAGGCUUUACUAAACCGUACUGAAAACCGACACAGGUGGUCAGGUAGAGAAUACUCAGGCGCUUGAGAGAACUCGGGUGAAGGAACUAGGCAAAAUAGCACCGUAACUUCGGGAGAAGGUGCGCCGGCGUAGAUUGUAGAGAUUUACUCUCGAAGGUUGAACCGGUCGAAGAUACCAGCUGGCUGCAACUGUUUAUUAAAAACACAGCACUCUGCAAACACGAAAGUGGAGGUAUAGGGUGUGAUGCCUGCCCGGUGCUGGAAGGUUAAUUGAUGGUGUAAUCGCAAGAGAAGCACCUGAUCGAAGCCCCAGUAAACGGCGGCCGUAACUAUAACGGUCCUAAGGUAGCGAAAUUCCUUGUCGGGUAAGUUCCGACCUGCACGAAUGGCAUAAUGAUGGCCAGGCUGUCUCCACCCGAGACUCAGUGAAAUUGAAAUCGCCGUGAAGAUGCGGUGUACCCGCGGCUAGACGGAAAGACCCCGUGAACCUUUACUAUAGCUUGACACUGAACAUUGAAUUUUGAUGUGUAGGAUAGGUGGGAGACUUAGAAGUAGUCACGCCAGUGAUUAUGGAGUCAUCCUUGAAAUACCACCCUUUAACGUUUGAUGUUCUAACGAAGAUUACGAAACGUGGUCUCGGACAGUGUCUGGUGGGUAGUUUGACUGGGGCGGUCUCCUCCCAAAGCGUAACGGAGGAGCACGAAGGUUUGCUAAUCACGGUCGGACAUCGUGAGGUUAGUGCAAUGGUAUAAGCAAGCUUAACUGCGAGACAGACAAGUCGAGCAGGUACGAAAGUAGGUCAUAGUGAUCCGGUGGUUCUGAAUGGAAGGGCCAUCGCUCAACGGAUAAAAGGUACUCCGGGGAUAACAGGCUGAUACCGCCCAAGAGUUCAUAUCGACGGCGGUGUUUGGCACCUCGAUGUCGGCUCAUCACAUCCUGGGGCUGAAGUAGGUCCCAAGGGUAUGGCUGUUCGCCAUUUAAAGUGGUACGCGAGCUGGGUUUAGAACGUCGUGAGACAGUUCGGUCCCUAUCUGCCGUGGGCGUAGGAGAAUUGGUUGGGGCUGCUCCUAGUACGAGAGGACCGGAGUGGACGCACCACUGGUGUUCCGGUUGUGUCGCCAGACGCAUUGCCGGGUAGCUAAGUGCGGAAGAGAUAAGUGCUGAAAGCAUCUAAGCACGAAACUUGCCAAGAGAUGAGUUCUCCCUGUCUUUAAGACAGUAAGGGUUGU
rnacentral:rRNA from 1 species